UAGAGGAUCCAAAACCCCCUUUUACGCGUCUGGAUCCUCUGGAGUUGGAGAAAACUCUACAAAAUAGAGUUGAGAAGAUCUUGGCCUUCUAUUAUAUUUAAUGGCUGAGAUUUUCUCUACUAACUCAACUAAUUAAAAAAAGUAAAAAAAAAUAAAGAAAAUAAAAUCAUUAUACGAUGAAAAGAUAAAACAUCUGGGAAGGAAUUUCCCUAAUGUUCUUGUUUAAUUGUUGAGGGAUUUGAAGAUGAUAGAGAUCGAUAAUACAACACCAAUUCGAUGUGGGCACCGUCGCCAUCAUCUAAUCUCUCACAACUCAACAUCUUCACAAAAGAAGAUGAAAUCAUUAUCUCUCUAUCUCUCAAGAUUUACGCCUAAUUCUCAAAUACUCCGUACCAGUCUCCAUAUUAAUCACAGAAAACUACAAAUCUACAAUCAUCUGCCAUGGUGUUUCAUCCCUGUCGGAUCACCUCGUCGGAACUGCAUUUCGUUCAGGCAUAUUCCGGUAAAGCGGUGUCUACCUAAAUCCCAGAUUCAACUGGGCUAGAUUGAGUAAUACGAAGGUGACCCAUUUGCAAUUGGUUGGUUGAAUGAGAUACUGUAGUAUUUAAAUGUGUAUGAUGUUUUAUGAUACCUCAUAUGCCACUCAAAUUGCCUUAUUAGCUACUGAUAUGUUCUUUUUGGCUAAAUUACUUGCGUGAGUAUGCUUCAAACUCUUUGGUUUGCAAGAGUUGCAACCAUCGUUUUCUUAAUCUAGCCUAUUAGCUCAAUAUGGGAGAGCAUACUAGUAGAAAAAACCCCUGUUGCAGCCCAGCCCUGCAUAGGCUACAGAAAAAAGAAGUAUGUAUGUAGGUUCAAAUCAUGCAUAGGCUACAGAAAAAAGAAGUAUGUAUGUAGUGAAGAGAGAUGGGCGACAGGGGAACGUUCAUGUCGAUAAGAUUACUGCAAGGUUGAAGAAAUUGAGUUAUGGUCUGAGUACCGAUCACGGUGAUCCUAUUCUUGUCUCCCAGAAGGUUUGUGCUUGUGUUUAUGAGGGUGUUGCUACUAGAAUAUAUUAGCUUCUCUUACUUACAAUGGCUGCUCGAAGUUACGACUUCAAUGUUCAUCGGUAUAUGCAGGCAAUUGUGUCGAUUGUGUAUAUAGAGGGAUACAGAUUGUUGCUUCAAUUUUUUUUUUUAGAAAAAUAAAAACUUAUGGCCACAAGCCUUCAAUCGUAA